AUCCGGGGCCAGAAAUAAAACCGUUGGACAGGAUCCGCUCAUAUGGAAACAAUUUCGGGUUCGGAUCUUUUCUCUGUUCGCUAAAAUUUUUUGUUGAUUUUUCUCUGUCGAAGACUUCACUACGGCGAGCUCCCCUUGAAGCUAUGCCAUCAUUUGCCACUCUCAGUCUGUUCGUUAAACCCUAAAAUAAAAACCCUAAUGUCUGAAUCUAUUAAAUUAUUGUAAGAUGCUUUUGCUCUAAUCAAUGACCCUCUCUUUAAGAGCAUCAAAAGCUUUAUGGAUUUCUUCUUCUUCUUCUUCUUGUUAUUUUUAUUAUUACUCUUUUACGAAUGCUAAUACUCUAGAGGUACGUUUUUUAUUCCCAUCCUCUGUUUCGCUAUUUCAUAACUACUCCCCCUCUAUUGCCUCGUCUAAACACACUACUGUUGAAUCUACUAUCCAAUCAAUUGCUGUGGCUCCUUAUAAAGACCUUAUCUUUAAUACCAUUCAAGAAAAGCCUUGGGCUUUCUGCAAUCAAAAUUGGGUGUCUGAUAAAUUCAAUUCUGUAAUUACUGACCCCCAGUUGCUUAUUCGUGUUCUUUAUUCUAUUCGUGAGAAACCCACUAUUGCUUUAAGGUUUUUUAAAUGCGUUCUGACCCAGCCUGGAUUUAAGACCUCUGAGUAUGCUUUUUGUGCCAUUCUUCAGAUUUUGGUCGAUAAUUGUUUGAUGAAAUCUGCUUAUUGGGUUAUGGAGAGAAUUAUUAGUUUUGAAAUGUAUGGUAUUGUGGACGUUUUGAUCGGUGGGUAUUUGAAUUAUCAGGUAUCUAGUAAGCUUCUUAAUCUUUUGUUGUUUGUUUAUACUAAAAAAUUGAUGAUUGAGCAGUGUUUGUUGGUUUUUGAGAAGAUGAUGAGAAAUCGGUUCUUGCCUGAUGUGAAGAAUUGUAAUAGGAUUCUGAAGAUACUUAGGGAUAAAAAUCUUUUAGUUAAAGCUCUAGAAGUCUACAGAAUGAUGGGUGAGUAUGGCAUUAGGCCAACAGUUACUACUUAUAAUACAAUGCUGCAUUCCUUUUGUAAGGGAGGAGAAGUGCAGCGAGCAUUGGACCUUGUACCAAAGAUGCAAGAAAGAGGGUGUUAUCCGAGUGAAGUAACAUUUAAUGUGUUGAUAAAUGGGUUGUCAAAGAAAGGGGAAUUACAACAGGCUAAGGGAUUGAUUCAGGAGAUGGCGAAAGCGGGAUUGAGAGUUUCACCAUACACUUAUAAUCCUUUGAUUUGUGGCUAUUGCAAAAAGGGGUUGCUUGUAGAGGCAUUAGCCCUUUGGGAAGAGAUGGUUACUAGAGGAGUAUCUCCUACAGUGGCAAGUCAUAACACGAUUAUGUAUGGCUUUUGCAAGGAAGGGAAAAUGAGUGAUGCUAGACAGCAGUUGUCAGAUAUGUUAAAGAAGAAUUUGAUGCCAGAUAUAAUUUCAUAUAAUACUUUAAUUUAUGGGUUUUGUAGGUUGGGGAAUAUAGGUGAGGCAUUUAUCUUGUUGGAUGAGUUACGGUUUCGGAAUCUUAGCUUUAAUAUCGUCACAUAUAAUACUCUCAUAGAUGGACUUUGCAGACUAGGGGACUUGGAGACUGCACUGAAGCUCAAAGAGGAUAUGAUCAAUCGUGGGAUUCAUCCUGAUGUUGUUACUUAUACAGUUUUGGUAAAUGGGGCUUGCAAAUUGGGAAAUAUGUUGAUGGCUAAGGAAUUUUUUGAUGAGAUGUUGCAUGUGGGCUUGGCUCCAGAUCAGUUUGCAUAUACAGCUCGAAUAGUGGGUGAAUUGAAGCUUGGUGACACAGCCAAGGCAUUUAAAUUGCAAGAAGAAAUGCUAACAAAAGGUUUCCCACCAGAUGUUAUCACCUAUAAUGUCUUUGUGAAUGGGCUUUGUAAAUUGGGCAAUUUGGAAGAGGCAGGUGAAUUGUUGCAGAAGAUGAUCAGGGAUGGUCAUGUUCCUGAUCAUGUAACAUAUACUAGCUUCAUGCAUGCUCACAUGGAGAAUGGGCAUCUCAGGGAAGGAAGAGAGAUAUUCUAUGAUAUGCUGAGCAGAGGACAAACCCCUACAGUAGUCACAUAUACUGUGUUGAUUCAUGCACAUGCACUAAAUGGGAGGCUAGAUUGGGCAAUGGCGUAUUUCUUAGAGAUGCAGGAGAAAGGAGUUGUGCCAAAUGUUAUAACUUAUAACGUCCUGAUAAAUGGUUUUUGCAAGGUGAGGAAAAUGGAUCAGGCAUGCAAGUUUUUCAUUGAGAUGCAAGAAAAAGGAAUUUUUCCUAAUAAGUAUACCUACACUAUUUUAAUAAAUGAGAACUGCAACAUGGGAAAAUGGCAGGAGGCCUUGAGAUUAUAUGCACAAAUGCUAGGUAAAAGAAUUCGGCCAGAUUCUUGUACGCAUGGUGCACUGUUGAAAAAGCUAGACAAGGACUAUAAAGUGCAGGCAGUUCAGUUCAUUGAGAGUUUAAUACUAGAUGGUGAUAGAACCAUUGAUGCAAACACUUGAUUCUGCCUUUGACAAAGUGUUCCGGGUUUCAUAGGUGGUGGGUGAGAAAGCAGCAAACUUGUCUCUUGAACUUCUCAUAGGCCAGUUGAUAAAUUUUCUAAGACGAUUCAUCAAGGGUUGGGAUCUGUACCUAUACUAAGGUGGAUUGGAACUCAUGGUCAGCUUUCUUUCGAUCGGGUUUUCUUCCUUCUGCCUUUCCGCGAGCCAAUUAUGCGUGGCGCUAAAGAGGAAGACGUCACUUACUGUACUACUAUCGGCCGCAGGUUGAAGAACAAGAAAGAUAUUCUCUGGUCUAGGAGUAGGAGUUCAAACAACUUCUAAUCCUAUUCGGUGAAAUAAGAUUCUAAGAUUCGUUCUUCUUUUUGGAAACUUGCUACUAGUUCUAAGCUUGCAGCUCAACUCAAGAGCAAGGUAAGGCACGCUCUUUCGUUAAUUAGCUAGGGCUUCGCAUGCUCAUGUCUUUCUCUUCUCUUGAGCUAAUGCCUAUCUAGCUAGCUAUGCUCUUUCCUUCUCCCUCUCACUUCUGACUUCCCAAAUAGCUUGCUGCAAUCCUGGAAAAGAGGCCAUCGGUUUGCAGUUGAAAGGUAUCAAAGAAAUUGUUGAGGUUACCAGGUUCUUCAUGAAUUUUCUGUUGAAACUUGAAAGGUUAAGGUUUUCAUUCUCAUAUUGAAGGGUCUAGUGAUUUGUGAUCCAAAUGUCAGUGCUGCUAGAUGAAAAAAUUGUGGAAAAGAGAACAAUGCUAAAUUUUAUUAGAUAAUGAUGUUGCAUGAUGAUAUGCACAUAGGCUAUUGUGCUACAUAUCCAAAGCAGCUGUUGAAACACACUUGAUAACUAACAGUAGUAUAUGAUUCUAUGAAUGUGCUUGUGUACAGGUUAAGAAGCAUGGUGAAUUAUUGGAACUGUUUUCGGCAUUAAAUAUUUUACCAUGGAGAGGACCCUCUUGUGCAAUUUUUUUUUUCUUGCUAAAAUGAGGUAUGUGAUUUUGUUUGUUAUUUUGUCCUUUUCUUUUGAUGUUUCUUCAUCAUGAAGAUACUAUAGAGACGAAAGAAAUUAGGUUUUGCUAUAGUUGUAUCUGCAAAAAACUUUCUGGAUACGUUUUAGCUCAGAAAAGUUUGUUCAUUGAUGUUUGUAUAGAUGAACGUAUCCUAGUUCUCUCUUCUCUUAUUUCUACCAGUCUACGAAUUUUGGUAUGGUUCGUUAAGCUAUACACAUGAUGGAAAGGUUACCUGGUUAAAUUUUCUGUAUUCAACCUGUUUCGCAACAUCCAGAAAGGAAAGGACACUCUUAUUUGGUGAGCACCUGUUGUCUUUUCUGGAGAAAGGGUAUUCAAGCCCUAUCUGUUUCUCAGCACGGUGCUUUGUCUCUCCUGAUGCAUUUCUUCAACAAUUCAAUCUAAUGUUUCAUCAGCUGGUAAACUACUUUAAUCAAUUGUUUACAAAGUUCUUUCGUAUACGCUUUGUGUGGCUUUCAGACAACUAUUUUAAUUUGACUUGGUAGCUAAUGUUUUUUCUUUUAUAUCCUUUAAACUAAUUUACAUGUUGAUUUUGCUUUUUGUAUUAUUACUUACUCUUGUUCUGUAUUUUUAUGGCUUGAUCUUGCAUCACUAUAUAUUCAUGAGCUUAGCCACCUAUUAAAUUAUUUUUAUGUUCCUGUUUAUUUCCACAUCUAAGUUCAUUCCUUUCUUAAUGGAAAUGCAUAUACUUGGAACUUAUCUCUGUAUUUGCUUAUGCCUUCAACCCUAAGAAUUGUUUACUUUGUAACUGGAACCAAUCUAACCCAGUUCUAACCUUUCAUUUCUUCUUUUUUGUUUUAUGACAUAGCUCCAUCUUCAUAAUCCUGAUAAAUUUAUAGUAAUAUCAACAUACUGUGGGCACUCAAGCUGCAAUGGACGCUUCAUUGUUAAAGAAAAUGAUGGUGCAGUCAUAAAUAAUUAUAAGCAGGGGCACUGAAUUAUUAGAUGUUCUUCUCUUUGUUUCUCUCGUACUUUCUGGAAUCUCCUAUAUCUGUCAGGUUGCUUGGGCUAUUCACAGGUGGGUUCAAGCUUGGAGUCUUACAACUUUAGUUGCCGUGGCUUCUAUUGGUAAAAUCCAUAAAGAGGCAUCAUUGGCUAAUCUUAUGCAGUUGGGCACAGUUAUUUUUAGUAUGGAUUAUGAUUUUUUUUAUUUUUUUUUUUUAAUUUUAGCAAUUUACACAUGACUUAAAAAAAUAAAAGGAAAAGAAAAAUGUUAACCAUCUUGCCUUCA